rnacentral:rRNA from 1 species
AGUGAACGCUGGCGGUAGGCCUAACACAUGCAAGUCGAACGGCAGCACAGUAAGAGCUUGCUCUUACGGGUGGCGAGUGGCGGACGGGUGAGGAAUACAUCGGAAUCUACUUUUUCGUGGGGGAUAACGUAGGGAAACUUACGCUAAUACCGCAUACGACCUACGGGUGAAAGCAGGGGACCUUCGGACCUUGCGCGAUUGAAUGAGCCGAUGUCGGAUUAGCUAGUUGGCGGGGUAAAGGCCCACCAAGGCGACGAUCCGUAGCUGGUCUGAGAGGAUGAUCAGCCACACUGGAACUGAGACACGGUCCAGACUCCUACGGGAGGCAGCAGUGGGGAAUAUUGGACAAUGGGCGCAAGCCUGAUCCAGCCAUACCGCGUGGGUGAAGAAGGCCUUCGGGUUGUAAAGCCCUUUUGUUGGGAAAGAAAAGCGGCAGGUUAAUACCCCGCUGUUCUGACGGUACCCAAAGAAUAAGCACCGGCUAACUUCGUG